rnacentral:rRNA from 1 species
UGGGGAAUAUUGCACAAUGGGCGCAAGCCUGAUGCAGCCAUGCCGCGUGUGUGAAGAAGGCCUUCGGGUUGUAAAGCACUUUCAGCGAGGAGGAAGGUGGUGAGCUUAAUACGCUCAUCAAUUGACGUUACUCGCAGAAGAAGCACCGGCUAACUCCGUGCCAGCAGCCGCGGUAAUACGGAGGGUGCAAGCGUUAAUCGGAAUUACUGGGCGUAAAGCGCACGCAGGCGGUUUGUUAAGUCAGNUGUGAAAUCCCCGGGCUCAACCUGGGAACUGCAUUUGAAACUGGCAAGCUAGAGUCUCGUAGAGGGGGGUAGAAUUCCAGGUGUAGCGGUGAAAUGCGUAGAGAUCUGGAGGAAUACCGGUGGCGAAGGCGGCCCCCUGGACGAAGACUGACGCUCAGGUGCGAAAGCGUGGGGAGCAAACAAGAUUAGAUACCCUGGUAGUCACGCUGUAAAACGAUGUCGAUUUUGGAGGUUGUGCCCUUGAGGCGUGGCUUCCGGAGCUAACGCGUUAAAUCGACCGCCUGGGGAGUACGGCCGCAAGGUUAAAACUCAAAGGAAUU